rnacentral:lncRNA from 1 species
GCAGGCUGCGGGCGGGGAGGGGGGGAGCGAGGAAGAGGAGGUGGAGGAGGAGGAGGAGGAGGAGGAGGAGGAGGAGGAGGGAGGAGGGUGUGCGUAGCGGGAGGAGGGGGGGAAGGAAACCCUCAUGGAAGUAUGAAGGAGAUGGUGGGAGGCUGCUGUGUCUGUUCUGAUGAGCGGGGCUGGGCGGAGAACCCGCUGGUGUACUGCGAUGGACACGGCUGCAAUGUGGCGGUGCACCAAGCGUAUCUCCAGCCUCUUCCUGGGCAGGCUCUCCCUCCGCGUCUUGCUGCGCGCUCCUGUCUCCGGCCGGGAACCUGUCCUGCGCUGCCUCCCCCCGCCUGUCAGGCCAGGUCUCUGGGUCUGUAGGUUGAGCUUUCUUCUGCUUUUCCUACGUUUGAUGUGUCUGCGCUCACAUCUUCUGCGAGAGCUCGCUUGCAACCAGGUGACUGAAGGGGAGGUGAAAAGAGGAAGCGAAGCUGGCGGGGGAUUUCUCUCCGUUCAGUCAGUGCCUGGGUGUCUCCUGCCCUAAAACAGCCCCGCCAGGUUGCCUCCGUGUGACCGGCAGCAUGUAGGGUCUCUCUGCAAGGAUGCUCGCUUGUUUUAGUUUUGGUGCUGUAACUCUUGCGUUCUUCCCAAGACUUGUCAAGCCACCCACUAGAGAACGUGCCUCUGCACAGCAAUUUGUGGAGGGAGAUUAAGGGCACUGGCAUCCUCGUGCUCACCUCCAAGAGUAACAUCAACACGUCUAUUUGCUGGCUAGAACAGUCUCAAAUCUGCGGUCCGUUUAUUCUUGUAGGGUGCCUGCUCGUGGGCCCGCACGGUUACGGAGAUGGAUGCGCUCGUUUCGAGGCAGCCAAGCGGGUGGGCGGCGUUGGGAGGGUUGGGAGGCGUUAGGAGAGGGCACUGCUGGGGUGUUCGGAAGGCUCAACUGUGUGUUUAGGGCUUGUAGGAGUCCGUCAGGAUGCAGGAAUUCAUAAGGAGUGUAGCAGUGUGUAGUGGGUGUUCAGGAUACCUUCAGUCCCCUUUUUAAAGCCCGCUCACAAACCUAGUAGUCGCGUGGUGUUUUUGGUGGGCUUUCAGUCACUCCACAGAAGCAAACCACUGCAGAGGUUCAGCUGGGCCUUCUAGUCUCAUUCCCUACAACCACACACUAGGUUUGGUAUCUCUUUGUACUGCUUGAAUAUCUGCAAAACCAAAGUUGCCUUUUGAAAUGAUUGUACAGCCCAGUACAGAACCCUCUGUUUAUUUUAAGCUUAUGUUAUAGCUACACAUUAAAGCUGAUUUUAGAAAAAAAAAUAAAAACAGUACCAUUUCCUUGACA